AGCAGCCGCGGUAAUUCCAGCUCCAAUAGCGUAUAUUAAAGUUGUUGCAGUUAAAAAGCUCGUAGUUGAAUUUCGGGGUUAGCAGGUCGGUCGUGCCAUCGGUAUGAACUGGUCUCGCUGAUCCCUCCCUCUUGACGAACUGUGAUGCCAUUAAUUUGGUGUCGCAGGGAAUCAGGACUGUUACUUUGAAAAAUUAGGGUGUUUAAAGCAGGCUCACGCUUGAAUACAUUAGCAUGGAAUAAUGAAAUAGGACGUUUGAUCCUAUUUUGUUGGCUUCUAGGAUUGACGUAAUGAUUAAUAGGGAUAGUUGGGGGCAUUAGUAUUCAAUUGUCAGAGGUGAAAUUCUUGGAUUUAUUGAAGACUAACUACUGCGAAAGCAUUUGCCAAGGAUGUUUUCAUUAAUCAAGAACGAAAGUUAGGGGAUCGAAGACGAUCAGAUAC
rnacentral:sRNA from 1 species